UACAGAGGUCUCAAGCGUUGUUCGGAUUCAUUGGGCGUAAAGGGUGCGUAGGUGGCGUGGUAAGUAGGGGGUGAAAUCUUGCGGCUCAACUGCAAGGCUGCCUCCUAAACUGCCGGGCUGGAGCACGGUAGAGGCAGAUGGAAUUCCCGGUGUAGCGGUGGAAUGCGUAGAGAUCGGGAAGAACAUCGGUGGCGAAGGCGGUCUGCUGGGCCGUUGCUGACGCUGAGGCGCGACAGCGUGGGGAGCAAACAGG
rnacentral:rRNA from 1 species